UGGACCUAAUAAGAAAGCAAGAGUGUUU
rnacentral:rRNA from 1 species